rnacentral:rRNA from 1 species
GAUGAACGCUGGCGGCGUGCCUAAUACAUGCAAGUCGAGCGAACAGACGAGGAGCUUGCUCCUCUGACGUUAGCGGCGGACGGGUGAGUAACACGUGGAUAACCUACCUAUAAGACUGGGAUAACUUCGGGAAACCGGAGCUAAUACCGGAUAAUAUAUUGAACCGCAUGGUUCAAUAGUGAAAGACGGUUUUGCUGUCACUUAUAGAUGGAUCCGCGCCGCAUUAGCUAGUUGGUAAGGUAACGGCUUACCGAGGCAACGAUGCGUAGCCGACCUGAGAGGGUGAUCGGCCACACUGGAACUGAGACACGGUCCAGACUCCUACGGGAGGCAGCAGUAGGGAAUCUUCCGCAAUGGGCGAAAGCCUGACGGAGCAACGCCGCGUGAGUGAUGAAGGUCUUCGGAGCGUAAAACUCUGUUAUUAGGGAAGAACAAAUGUGUAAGUAACUAUGCACGUCUUGACGGUACCUAAUCAGAAAGCCACGGCUAACUACGUG